rnacentral:rRNA from 1 species
CAGUCGCCGCGGUAAUACGAAGGGGGCUAGCGUUGCUCGGAAUUACUGGGCGUAAAGGGAGUGUAGGCGGACAUUUAAGUCAGGGGUGAAAUCCCAGAGCUCAACUCUGGAACUGCCUUUGAUACUGGGUGUCUUGAGUGUGAUAGAGGUAUGUGGAACUCCGAGUGUAGAGGUGAAAUUCGUAGAUAUUCGGAAGAACACCAGUGGCGAAGGCGACAUACUGGAUCAUUACUGACGCUGAGGCUCGAAAGCGUGGGGAGCAAACAGGAUUAGAGACCCGUGUAGUCCCUGUCUCUUAUAC